rnacentral:rRNA from 1 species
UCCGUAGGUGAACCUGCGGAAGGAUCAUUACAGUAGUCGCCCGGGUUGCCGCAAGGCCUCCCGGGUAACCUACCACCCUUUGUUUAUUACACUUUGUUGCUUUGGCAAGCCUGCCCUCGGGCUGCUGGCUCCGGCCGGCGAGCGCUUGCCAGAGGACCUAAACUCUGUUUGUCUAUACUGUCUGAGUACUAUAUAAUAGUUAAAACUUUCAACAACGGAUCUCUUGGUUCUGGCAUCGAUGAAGAACGCAGCGAAAUGCGAUAAGUAAUGUGAAUUGCAGAAUUCAGUGAAUCAUCGAAUCUUUGAACGCACAUUGCGCCCCCUGGUAUUCCGGGGGGCAUGCCUGUCCGAGCGUCAUUACAACCCUCAAGCUCAGCUUGGUGUUGGGCCCCGCCGCCCCGGCGGGCCCUAAAGUCAGUGGCGGUGCCGUCCGGCUCCGAGCGUAGUAAUUCUUCUCGCUCUGGAGGUCCGGUCGUGUGCUCGCCAGCAACCCCCAAUUUUUUUCAGGUUGACCUCGGAUCAGGUAGGGAUACCCGCCGAACUUAAGCAUAUCAAUAAGCGGAGGAA